rnacentral:lncRNA from 1 species
GUUCGAAGACAUUUCAUUUCGCAAUAGCAAUUUAGUCCGAAUCUUUGGAAAUAAAAGACUGAUGGUUCACAAGGCGUUAUUUAACCAUGGUGGAAAACGACAGACCGAGCUCUAUUUCUCUGCGAGGUCACGAGUCUUGCUUUAUAAAUAUGCUUAGUUUCCUUUUUGCAGCGUCAUCUUUCCUACUAAAUCUUUCUGUGCCCUCUUUUGCUUUAACUCUAGCAGCAGCAGAAGUCGUUUCUGCUGUAUUUGCUCUCUGUAAGCUAGGCUGGUUGUACGUCCUUCUCAUAGGCCACAGCUGAAGAUGUGUUUCUGGAGGAGAGUUUCUGGAGGGUGCACAUUGCCACAACCCCAAGGCCAUCAUGAUAGAGGACAGCCAUUGAAAAGACCAAUGAUGCUCUCUGUGCUGCCCCACACCUUGCCUCUUCUUCCUAUGCACCUGAUAUAUGUGCAACUAAGGGUGAGUUGAAUCUGUUUUUUUUUUUUUAUUAUUUUUUUUGGAAGGUUAGUUU